rnacentral:rRNA from 1 species
AUUGAACGCUAGCGGGAUGCUUUACACAUGCAAGUCGAACGGCAGCGCGGACUUCGGUCUGGCGGCGAGUGGCGAACGGGUGAGUAAUGUAUCGGAACGUGCCCAGUAGCGGGGGAUAACUACGCGAAAGCGUAGCUAAUACCGCAUACGCCCUACGGGGGAAAGCAGGGGAUCGUAAGACCUUGCACUAUUGGAGCGGCCGAUAUCGGAUUAGCUAGUUGGUGAGGUAACGGCUCACCAAGGCGACGAUCCGUAGCUGGUUUGAGAGGACGACCAGCCACACUGGGACUGAGACACGGCCCAGACUCCUACGGGAGGCAGCAGUGGGGAAUUUUGGACAGUGGGGGCAACCCUGAUCCAGCCAUCCCGCGUGGGCGAUGAAGGCCUUCGGGUUGUAAAGCACUUUUGGCAGGAAAGAAACGUCGCGGGCUAAUACCCCGUGGAACUGACGGUACCUGCAGAAUAAGCACCGGCUAACUACGU